rnacentral:misc_RNA from 1 species
GUAGGUGAACCUUCGGAAGGAUCAUUAUUGAAUGAACUUGAUGUGGUUGUCGCUGGCUCUCUCGAGAGCAUGUGCACGCCCGUCAUCUUUAUCUUUCCACCUGUGCACCCUUUGUAGACUUGAAUAGUAUUUUCUGAGGUAACUCAGUUGUGAGGAUUGCUGGUUUUCAUCAGCUUUCCUUGAAUUAUUCAAGGCUAUGUUUUCAUAUACCCCAAAGAAUGUAACAGAAUGUAUCAUUGGGCCUUGUGCCUAUAAACUAUAUACAACUUUCAGCAACGGAUCUCUUGGCUCUC